rnacentral:rRNA from 1 species
AGGACGAACGCUGGCGGCGUGCCUAACACGAUGCAAGUCGAGCGGAGAUGAUGAGAGGAAGUUUCGGAUGGAAUCACAUUAGUUUAGCGGCGGACGGGUGAGUAACGCGUGAGCGACCAACCUUGCACAGGGGGAUAACGGACCGAAAGGUUCACUAAUACCGCAUGAGACCACGGUGUUGCAUGACACAGAGGUCAAAGGAGGAAUCCGGUGCAAGACGGGCUCGCGUCCGAUUAGGUAGUUGGAGGGGUAACGGCCCACCAAGCCUAUGAUCGGUAGCCGACCUGAGAGGGUGAUCGGCCACAUUGGAACUGAGAUACGGUCCAAACUCCUACGGGAGGCAGCAGUGGGGAAUAUUGGGCAAAUGGGGGAAACCCUGACCCAGCAACGCCGCGUGAAGGAAGAAGGUUUUCGGAUUGUAAACUUCUGUCCUUGGUGAAGAGAAGAAGACGGUAGCCAAGGAGGAAGCCCCGGCUAACUACGUGCCAGCCGCCGC